GACGUAGGGUGCGAGCGUUGUCCGGAUUUAUUGGGCGUAAAGAGCUCGUAGGCGGCUCGUCGCGUCAGCUGUGAAAACCUGCAGCUUAACUGUGGGCUUGCAGCUGAUACGGGCGGGCUAGAGUUCGGUAGGGGAGACUGGAAUUCCUGGUGUAGCGGUGAAAUGCGCAGAUAUCAGGAGGAACACCGGUGGCGAAGGCGGGUCUCUGGGCCGAUACUGACGCUGAGGCACGAAAGCGUGGGGAGCAAACAGG
rnacentral:rRNA from 1 species